rnacentral:rRNA from 1 species
GCUUAACCGGAGAAGUGCAUCGGAAACUGGGAGACUUGAGUGCAGAAGAGGACAGUGGAACUCCAUGUGUAGCGGUGGAAUGCGUAGAUAUAUGGAAGAACACCAGUGGCGAAGGCGGCUGUCUAGUCUGUAACUGACGCUGAGGCUCGAAAGCAUGGGUAGCGAACAGGACUAGAUACCCUGGUAGUCCAUGCCGUAAACGAUGAGUGCUAAGUGUUGGAGGGUUUCCGCCCUUCAGUGCUGCAGCUAACGCAUUAAGCACUCCGCCUGGGGAGUACGACCGCAAGGUUGAAACUCAAAGGAAUUGACGGGGGCCCGCACAAGCGGUGGAGCAUGUGGUUUAAUUCGAAGCUACGCGAAGAACCUUACCAGGUCUUGACAUCUUCUGCCAAUCUUAGAGAUAAGACGUUCCCUUCGGGGACAGAAUGACAGGUGGUGCAUGGUUGUCGUCAGCUCGUGUCGUGAGAUGUUGGGUUAAGUCCCGCAACGAGCGCAACCCUUAUUAUCAGUUGCCAGCAUUCAGUUGGGCACUCUGGUGAGACUGCCGGUGACAAACCGGAGGAAGGUGGGGAUGACGUCAAAUCAUCAUGCCCCUUAUGACCUGCGCUACACACGUGCUACAAUGGACGGUACAACG